CGUCGUGAAGAGGGAAACAACCCAGACCGCCAGCUAAGGUCCCAAAGUCAUGGUUAAGUGGGAAACGAUGUGGGAAGGCCCAGACAGCCAGGAUGUUGGCUUAGAAGCAGCCAUCAUUUAAAGAAAGCGUAAUAGCUCACUGGUCGAGUCGGCCUGCGCGGAAGAUGUAACGGGGCUAAACCAUGCACCGAAGCUGCGGCAGCGACGCUGAUGCGUUGUUGGGUAGGGGAGCGUUCUGUAAGCCUGCGAAGGUGGCCUGUGAGGGUUGCUGGAGGUAUCAGAAGUGCGAAUGCUGACAUAAGUAACGAUAAAGCGGGUGAAAAGCCCGCUCGCCGGAAGACCAAGGGUUCCUGUCCAACGUUAAUCGGGGCAGGGUGAGUCGACCCCUAAGGCGAGGCCGAAAGGCGUAGUCGAUGGGAAACGGGUUAAUAUUCCCGUACUUGGUGUUACUGCGAAGGGGGGACGGAGAAGGCUAUGUUGGCCGGGCGACGGUUGUCCCGGUUUAAGCGUGUAGGUGUGUGUUCCAGGUAAAUCCGGUUCACUUUAACACUGAGGCGUGACGACGAGGCACUACGGUGCUGAAGCAACAAAUGCCCUGCUUCCAGGAAAAGCCUCUAAGCAUCAGGUAACAUCAAAUCGUACCCCAAACCGACACAGGUGGUCAGGUAGAGAAUACCAAGGCGCUUGAGAGAACUCGGGUGAAGGAACUAGGCAAAAUGGUGCCGUAACUUCGGGAGAAGGCACGCUGACACGUAGGUGAAGUGAUUUACUCAUGGAGCUGAAGUCAGUCGAAGAUACCAGCUGGCUGCAACUGUUUAUUAAAAACACAGCACUGUGCAAACACGAAAGUGGACGUAUACGGUGUGACGCCUGCCCGGUGCCGGAAGGUUAAUUGAUGGGGUCAGCGCAAGCGAAGCUCCUGAUCGAAGCCCCGGUAAACGGCGGCCGUAACUAUAACGGUCCUAAGGUAGCGAAAUUCCUUGUCGGGUAAGUUCCGACCUGCACGAAUGGCGUAAUGAUGGCCAGGCUGUCUCCACCCGAGACUCAGUGAAAUUGAACUCGCUGUGAAGAUGCAGUGUACCCGCGGCAAGACGGAAAGACCCCGUGAACCUUUACUAUAGCUUGACACUGAACAUUGAGCCUUGAUGUGUAGGAUAGGUGGGAGGCUUUGAAGUGUGGACGCCAGUCUGCAUGGAGCCGACCUUGAAAUACCACCCUUUAAUGUUUGAUGUUCUAACGUGGACCCGUGAUCCGGGUUGCGGACAGUGUCUGGUGGGUAGUUUGACUGGGGCGGUCUCCUCCUAAAGAGUAACGGAGGAGCACGAAGGUUGGCUAAUCCUGGUCGGACAUCAGGAGGUUAGUGCAAUGGCAUAAGCCAGCUUGACUGCGAGCGUGACGGCGCGAGCAGGUGCGAAAGCAGGUCAUAGUGAUCCGGUGGUUCUGAAUGGAAGGGCCAUCGCUCAACGGAUAAAAGGUACUCCGGGGAUAACAGGCUGAUACCGCCCAAGAGUUCAUAUCGACGGCGGUGUUUGGCACCUCGAUGUCGGCUCAUCACAUCCUGGGGCUGAAGUAGGUCCCAAGGGUAUGGCUGUUCGCCAUUUAAAGUGGUACGCGAGCUGGGUUUAGAACGUCGUGAGACAGUUCGGUCCCUAUCUGCCGUGGGCGCUGGAGAACUGAGGGGGGCUGCUCCUAGUACGAGAGGACCGGAGUGGACGCAUCACUGGUGUUCGGGUUGUCAUGCCAAUGGCACUGCCCGGUAGCUAAAUGCGGAAGAGAUAAGUGCUGAAAGCAUCUAAGCACGAAACUUGCCCCGA
rnacentral:rRNA from 1 species